rnacentral:lncRNA from 1 species
GACUAAACUAGGUUUCUUUUUACUUUACAUUUUAUUGUACUUUGACACUGCCAGAUAUAUGACAUAUUGUGUAGAACUCUUAUUUUUUACUCUAUUAAAACCUCAAUAAAUGAUAGUUUUAUUGCAAAAAAGGCCAUACGAUUGAUAAACAAUGCAUGAUAUUAUGACCACACACAUCCAUUAUUUGUUCAAUUAAAACUUAGGAAAUUCAAAUACAUUGUUUAUUAUAAAAUACUAGUGCAGUGCCCAUAGGAAGUAUGUCUUGCUAUAGAAAUAUGGGAGGUGAAGUAGCUUUUUUGUGAAUGGUUUACAUGGGGGCUUUAAUUCCUCUUUAAAUCAGAAUAAAAGUUAAUCCUCUUUAAACUGACCUUGUAAACACUCAAUUUCUUAAUGCAGAUACACAGAUGUUGGCAUAACAACGGUAAGGGAGACUAAGUUUCUGUUUCGAUUUCAAAACGGAGCAGAGAGAGAAUUCUACCAAUUGUCGUUUAGCCGAACAGCUCAAUGUUUACACGUUGUCAUGGUGACUAAAAUGGAAGCUCCGCACAGAGCUUUCAUCUUUGUGCCAGAGGAGGUACCAAAAACAUUAAAGUCAGUUUAAUAACCUGAAAACAAGCCAUACAGUCAGUUUAGUAAAAGUCUGAAGAAUAUCUACUCUAUUCUACUCUAAAGAUUGACCAGCAGAUGUCCUCAGUGAGGAAAACUUUUGUGACCAAAAUGAAGACCACGAGAAAGAGUUCAACUCCAGUCCACGUGCGCGUUAAUGAUGCCACACCAGCCCACGUGCAGAUGAAGAGCGGCAUGAAGAGCUCUCAGGGAAAGCCUCUUCGUCCUUCAGCUGAAGGGAAAACCUGUGUCCCAUGGAUUCCUCCAGGGAAAAACUGCCCUUGGAAACACACUCAAAAGUGUGAUGUGAGCAGACGCUUGUGGUGCUCUUCAUCAUUCCACGAACAUUCCACCAAGGGGCCGACACACCACCAGCAGAUCUGUCCUCCUCGUGCCCAUGCAUCCAAGCGCGAGUUCUCCCAGUUUAAGCUGACAGUGGCCGACCUGCUGUCUGAGGAUGAGGAUGAGAAUCAGGAUGAGUAUCAGGAUGAGGAUCAGGAUGAGGAUCAGAAUGAGGAUCAGAAGAGCCUGAAGGGACUCAUCACUCAUUACGAGAGGAAG